rnacentral:rRNA from 1 species
UACAGAGGUCCCAAGCGUUGUUCGGAUUCAUUGGGCGUAAAGGGUGCGUAGGUGGCGUCGUAAGUCGGGUGUGAAAUCUCGGGGCUUAACUCCGAAACUGCAUUCGAUACUGCGGUGCUUGAGGACUGGAGAGGAGACUGGAAUUUACGGUGUAGCAGUGAAAUGCGUAGAGAUCAUGAGGAAGACCAGUGGCGAAGGCGGGUCUCUGGACAGUUCCUGACACUGAGGCACGAAGGCCAGGGGAGCAAACGGG